AUUGAACGCUGGCGGCAGGCCUAACACAUGCAAGUCGGACGGUAGCACAGAGGCGCUAGCUCCUCGGGUGACGAGUGGCGGACGGGUGAGUAAUGGCUGGGGAUCUGCCCGAUAUGGAGGGAUAACCACUGGAAACGGUGGUUAAUACCGCAUAACGUCGCAAGAACAAAUAGGGGGACAUUCGAGCCUCUCACUGUCGGAUGAAGCCAGAUGGGAGUAGCUAGUAGGCGGGGUAAUGGCCCACCUAAGCGACGAUACCUAGCUGGUCUAAGAGGAUGACCAGACACACUGGAAAUGAGACACGGUCCAGACUCCUACGGGAGGAAGCAGUGGGGAAUAUUGCACAAUGGGUGCAAGCCUGAUGCAACCAUGCCGCGUGUAUGAAGGAGGCCUUCGGGUUGUAAAGUACUUUCAGCGGGGAGGAAGGCGAUGUGGUUAAUAACCUUGUCGAUUGACGUUACCCGCAGAAGAAGCACCGGCUAACUCCGUGCCAGCCGCCGCAGUAA
rnacentral:rRNA from 1 species